rnacentral:rRNA from 1 species
AUUGAACGCUGGCGGCAGGCCUAACGCAUGCAAGUCGAGCGGAUGACGGGAGCUUGCUCCUUGAUUCAGCGGCGGACGGGUGAGUAAUGCCUAGGAAUCUGCCUGGUAGUGGGGGACAACGUUUCGAAAGGAACGCUAAUACCGCAUACGUCCUACGGGAGAAAGCAGGGGACCUUCGGGCCUUGCGCUAUCAGAUGAGCCUAGGUCGGAUUAGCUGGUUGGUGGGGUAAUGGCUCACCAAGGCGACGAUCCGUAACUGGUCUGAGAGGAUGAUCAGUCACACUGGAACUGAGACACGGUCCAGACUCCUACGGGAGGCAGCAGUGGGGAAUAUUGGACAAUGGGCGAAAGCCUGAUCCAGCCAUGCCGCGUGUGUGAAGAAGGUCUUCGGAUUGUAAAGCACUUUAAGUUGGGAGGAAGGGCAGUAAGUUAAUACCUUGCUGUUUCGACGUUACCGACAGAAUAAGCACCGGCUAACUCUGCGCCAGCCGCCGCGGUAAAAC